GACCCAACACAAUAUUCUACAACUCGGGAGAGGGAUGCCGUAACCCAAAUUGCAGAACAUUUGAAGGUAAGUGAAUGACGAUUCACUAAUUUCCACCAUGAAAAACGAAAAAGAAAUUUAAGUUUUAAAUCUAUGAAAACUCCUAGAUCCUUUGAGAUUCAUUGAACAUUUCAAUGGCAUGUUUAAAUCUCGAUAUGCCCCUCUUGUUUGUGACUGGGAUGCCGAGGAUCACAAAGCGGGUGUGAAUAACCAUGCAAACUUACAUGGUGCCCUCACAUGUUACAGUCACCUAUUCGAUGUGCCGGUAAACCACACACGCUCCACCGAACUAUGACAAACAUUGAGUCACCCUUUGCUACCUUUGCUUAGAACCAUUUAGUGUGCCGGUAAACCACACACGCUCCACUAACGUCUUCGCAAGGGCACAAAGUGUAAUUUCAUGGAAUUGCAUCAAUUCACUUUUGCCUAAGUAACUAAGAUUGGGAAUUUUAUGAAAACAUUUAGUUACUUUUAUACUUCAUUAUACUUAUAAUGGAAGGUUUCGUCCUAUCCUACCCGUUCGGCUAACGACCCUCCACUAGUCAAGAGUGCGGUGGGUAAGAGUGGAUACCCAUUCAAUCGCCAUUUUAUAGGCAAUUUCCUUAAACACCCCUUAUAGACCAGCUUCGUGAAUGAGGCCUACUAACGGUAAGACUGACUUUUACUCAUACAUAUAUAUAAUGUUAGACUUUUAAUGUUAUAUAUAGUAUAGGGUGUAUUUUACACUUUUAAAAUACUAGGUGGUCAAAUUUAACAAUUAUACUUUUAAUUCAAUUAAAUUGUAAACCAAAACUUUUAUGGAUUUAUUAAACCUCUUUUAAUUAUACACCUUAAUUAAUUAAUAAAACCAUAAGGGUGUGAUUUGAACUUUUUCAAAACAAUACUAGAGUUUUAGAAUUUAACAUUCCUAAUUAAACUUUUAAUCAACUUUUAAAUUCCAAAACUUGAGGGCAAGUUUUGAAACAUUUCAACACAUUAGGGUUUAGAAUUUAAAUAUACAUCAAAAUUAAACUAUUUAAUCAAAAUUUAAAUUCCAAAACUUGAGGGCAAGUUUUGAAACCUUUUUCAAAACAUUAGGGUUUCAACUAUUUAAAUUUCAAAACAACAAAACUUUUGGGUUCAAAUUUAAACUAUAAAACCUAAAGGGGAAAAUAUGAAACUUUUCAUAACAACAAGGAUCAAAUAACAAAUAAUCUAAAUUAACAAUUAAUCACAUAAUUAUCCAUAUUUGAUUUAUUUAAUGAUUUCUUGCAAAACAAUUUAUCAAUUUAGUCAAAAUAAUUAAUCAAUUAUCACAUAAGGAAACAAUUAUCUUAUUAAUUGAUAAAUAUCUUCAAUUAGAUCAAAAAUAUAGUCAAAUAUAUCAUAUAAUCGGAUUAAUAUUGAUCUAACAUGAUAAGGUAACUAUCCAUAAGCAAAAACAGCAAGAAAUCCCGAAAUACCCUCCAUCUGACGAGUUGACUCGGCGAGUCAGGCUUGGACUCGGCGAGUCUGCAUGGACUCGGCGAGUUCAGCCAUGGACUCGGCGAGUCCAGCCUCCAGAAACCCAAAAAACGAAUUUUCCAGUUAUACAAUGCAUCAAUACAAUUGAAACCAAGCUAGGCUCUGAUACCACUGAUGGGUUUUGGUCAUAAGACAUCCUAUGUGCUCAUACAAACCCUAAUGCUUGGAUCUAGGUUUCUCUAUUGUACAUGCUUUGAAUCCAAGACUAUAAACCCUAAUUCUAGCAUAUGGAAAUCAAUAUUAACAUAUAAUUAGGUUUAAGAUAUUACCUUGAUUGUUAUGUAGCAAUAACAAUCCCAAUUCCUCCUUGAAUUGACUUUGGAAGGCUUAGAGUCACAAGUGUCACUCCUCUAAUGGCUUACAAACACCAUAAGCAAGAGGAUGAAGAGGAGAGAGGAUGGAGGCUGCCCAAAACGUGUUCUAACCCUAGAAAAGAAGUUCCCCACGUUUUUGAGCCUUAAGGGUUCUAUAUAUAGUGAGGCUAUUAGGGUUAUCUAACAAGGAAACCCUAAUUUGGUUGCUUAAGCCCUAAGCAACCCAUAGACUCCUUUAAUCAAGCCCUUGGACGAUUUCCUUAUGGGCUUCCCAUAAGAAUUCGUCCACCUCUUGAUUUAAGACAAUCCAUGGCCCAAAUUGCAAUUAUCUUAUAAUUACAAUUCCAGUCCCUUAAGUUUAAUUAAUCUCUUUUAGUCACAAAACUAAUUACCAAUUAAUUAUUGACUAAUAUUAAUUAAACAAUAUGAUUUCUCCUUUAAUAUAUUAUUCCCAUAAUAUAUUAAUAAAUCAUAUUUAAUCCUUUCUCUCCAUAAUUCAUCCUAUCAAGUUGCUUUGGUGAAGGCAACCCAAAAGGACCAUGCACCAUCGGGUCAAGUACAUACCAAAAUAGUUAUGGACUUAGACACUAAUCCAACAGUCUCCCACUUGGAUAAGUCUAAUAACUAUUAUGCGUAUGACUUCAGAUCCUGAUCUGCAAUCGUAGCUUUCCAAAGCCGCUGUCAACUCUGAUCCUAUCAGAUACGCGUGUCCUUAGAUAAGGGAUCAUAUAUUCCUCCAUUCUAGAUAUCAUAUGAGAUAUGAUUUCAAAUCAUUCUCUUUGUACUAUAUCUCGAUUCCCGAUUUAUGACGACUGACUAAUUGAACAAAUCAAAUUAGCCCUAGCCCGGCCGAGCAUUUACGUUUGUCAUCACUAAAUCAUCGAGGGGCCCAAAGAUAUCGCUUUUAUCCUACUUUGGAUAAAAGGAACGGAUAAACUUUGAUACAAUGCUUGCUUGCACUCACUCACCGAAUCACACACAACAAUAUGUUUUAUAACACCAAGUUACUAGUGCGUUUACAUAUUAUCAAUGUGCAACCGAUUUGCAAGAUACAACUCACACAUCUCGGUUUCAAGAAUAUAAGAUGUUAUCGUCUCACCAAUCACUCGUGAUACAAUUCAUGGAGUGAUCCAAGUGAGCGUGGGUUUAAUCCAAUGCUCAAAUCAUAUUCAUAAGCACUCAUGAACGUUGCAGCAAACAUUUGCUUAUGUCUAAUACUCUUUAGGACAAUCCACACACCAAUUCACGACAGUCUUCAUUCAUAUCUACUUCCAACAUAUGAACGACUGUGGCCCGUUCGAAUAAUUCGAUUAUUCUUAAUAAACUCAAUUAUUCUGGAAGUCAAAACAUGCAAAUGUGAAACACAAGAAUAAUACUAAUCCCAUAUGGCCUCAAACCUUUGAGUAUAAAUAAAACACCUUUUAUUUAUCACCAUAUCGAUUACUCAUUAUUUGUCGUUUCGGGUAAUCAACUUCUUACUUGAAUUAUUACACUUGUCCCAUGCUCCUAGCAUGCACACAAUGUUUACCUAUGGUUCUUACUUUGUGAAAUAGAUCAAAUUGAACACAUUUCCAAUCAUUCUCAUUUCACAACUCCAAAUCCUUUUUCAUAAGUGUAAGAAUAUCAAAUUCUUGCUACUUAUAGAAUAUGCUAGAUUCUAACAUUUUAUGCAAUGAUCCUUUCGUAAUGUCACUGCACCAAAGUCACAAAGACUAUUGCCAAUGAUAUUACAAAGUCCUCUAUCGGAGAUUGUUACAAGACAAUUCCUUAGAUAUGAUGUCUCUCACUCAAAGUACAUUCCUUUGAACAUCCUUUUGCAUAAAAGUUUCUAAUCUAGACAUAGAUUUUCAAUAUUCAAUUCCCAAUAUGGACACGUUUCCAUAUUUUCCAUAUGACAACUCAUUCUUAAUAGAAUCUUAUCUAUUCAUAAUAAUGUCGAUAUGGUCCAUCCAAUAUGGAAACAUUUCCAUAUUUUCCAAUACUAUACUUCCAACUACUCACAAGCGACCAAUCCUCGUCGAACUUUGGAUUGUCCUUUGAUAGUUGUUUAAUUAUUUUAGUCAAAACCGAUUCUAGUCCUUUUUCCCUCUAAAUGCGCUAGACAUUUGGAAAAUUUUAGAAUGGUCAAACAUUAAAGCAUUUGCAAUCGAUCCUAUACCCGAAGCGUAUGGGACACGACGCAUAAUGUUUUAUUUGCUAUGUUCUCAAAAUUCGAAUUGUGAAGAGGAAUGCCGUAAUCAUAAUCGAAAUUUUAAGAACACACUAUGUACCUUUGACUAAAUUUAUUAACAUUUCUCAACCUAAUCCUUUAGAUUUGAAAUGAAGCAUAAUAUUCUCUCCCUUAAUUAUAGCAAAACAACUUUUCAACUCUUACAACUUUGCAAAGUAUGACUCUUGUUUUCUAUAAUUAAUAUUGCUAACUUUGCAAUACUUUCCUUAAUAAUCAUACAAUCAUAACAUUUAUGCUCCCACUAUCAUGAUGAUUAUUAUAAAACAUAACACUUAUGCUCCCACUAGCUUCGACAUGUAUUCAUAAACAUCUUAACUUUCAGAAAAACAAUACUUAUUGAAUUUCUUAAGUUCAUGUUUCUAAUACUUAGUGCUUUGAUAAUCUUUUAUCAAGGCUUCUUGAACUUAUACACCUUUGCCUUCGAUAGUUCAUAUGUGUGUCUAAACAAUUAAGACUAAUUGCCAAACCUCACAAUUCAAAUUAUGGAAAGGGAUGCCGUAACCAUAAUCGAAUUCGAGAAUGCAAUUUUACAAUCACUAUCUUCUUAAAAUCUUUCUUAGUGAAAGCAUUUCCUCACAAUCAUUUUCAUGAAGGAGGAAAUCUUAUGACACUUAGAUUUAAACGGUGUAUGUGUUCCUAUCCAUGUGAAUUUGUUAAAACCAAAGUUUACGACAAAUUCAAACUCAUAUGGACCGAACUUUCUUAAUCUUGAUUUCUUGCCUUAUGGUAGCACAGCUGCCCACCAUGUCUUCCAAGUAGUUAAGCAGCUCACCCUUUCCUAUCAAUGUACCUUUCAUUGAUUAAGGUGCUUUGCCUUUUAUGCGUUCAAAAUGAGAACUCAUAGAACUCACAUGCAUAAUUAACUCGAUUGGAUUGGCACAGAAUCAAAAUAAUGUCAACACGAUAGGUUGUAAACCUCAACUCGUGUGCUAGUGAUGAUCGAUAAGGUUUAUUUGAUUUGUUCUUGAAACCUUUCAAGACCAUUAAGACUCCCACUGACUCCUUGACAUAUAAGAUUCUCUUGUCAAUAACCAUUUCUUGACAAACAAAUAUUCAAGAGUUAGUGUAGCUUUUAUCAAAACACUUCAUAAAUUGGUCCUAGUUGGUCUUUGUCUUAUCCAAGACAUCACAACUUUCCACAUUUAAUGAAUGUUAUAAACCUUCUUAAUACCUUUCACUCAAUGUCACAAUCUUAACUUUAAGACUUGUUAUUGGAACGAAGUAUGAUUGACUUAUUGAUUUAACCAUUUCUUCAAUUCUUGAUUCCUCUUCUUAGACAUACAAUUGUACUAAGACUCACUUAGAGGAUCAAUUGAGAUAUGGUUCUUAAUCAUUAAGACCUAUCAUAAAGCAUAAAAGGUACUCUCCCUUCUUCUUAGAAUGGAGAAACUUUUAUCUUUCUGCCUACUUGAUUCUUCUUAUUCGUUCUGCUAUUGAUUUAAACCUUUUCAAUCAAUUCAGAAUUACACUUAAUCUUAUAAGUAUAAUCAUAUUUACUAAACCUUUAGUAAAUCAUGACGAAUAUCUUUGUUACUCUUAUGGUGGACUUGAUCAACACGCAACUUUGUGUACUCGAUCUCCAAGUCCUUCACUUGACACUUUGUCAAUGAAUUAGUCUAAUUUCCAAAUAUGAAAUUUCUCAUUCAUCGUGCAACCAAGUUGCAUGAUUCCAAGUUUCUGUCCAAUUGAAACUUGGGCGAUGAGAAACUCUCCCUAUUUGGUAAAUUUUCGACAUUUCCACAAUUAUCAUAAUUGAGAAUCACAUCUAUUCGAUGUAGAAAUAUGCAAGCAUCAAUUUUUCAUAACGAUUUCAUUGCAAGGAAAUAAAUAAAUAAAUAAAUAAAUGAGUCAAACCAAAAUUUAUUUUUAUUUAUAACAGCAGCGGAAAAUAUUUGUCCUUACAAUGCAAAAUCAACUGAAAAACUAUGUAAUCAAAUAUUCCUACCAACUCUAUCAUAACUUUCUAAGCUCAAAAUCUAAUCUUCAAGUCCAUGCGAUCGAGAUCCAUUUCUUGGUGAUUAGACUCAUCUUGCUUUUCCAUCAAGCUUCCUCUCUUUUCACUGAUCCUGCAAAACAUUCAAAUGCAAUCUUAUCACAUCAUGUAUUAAGAAUCAAUGAAUAGGAACUUAAUGGAGUUAGAUAGUGGAUUUUACCUGAAGCACAACCAUACUCUUUGACUCUCCCAUCUUCUGGACUCUUCAGGCUCUUAGGGCAGACUUGUAUCCAACGCCCUUUCUCUUGGCAGCAAACGCAGGUCGGUUCUCCUAGAACGUCCUCGGAAGCAUGGUUGGUUGACUUUCCUAACAAAUACGCUCCAUUGCUUUGCCAAAUCAUUUCUGAUUCAGCAGCAAUAAGCAUGUAAGCUAGGUCAAUGAGGUUCGCGUCAUGAUCCAUCAUAUGAUACUUUCUUAUGAACUCAUUAUAUGAUUCAGGGAGUGACUGCAGAACCCAGUCCACAGCCAACUUAUUAGGGAAUGAUGCACCCAACAUUAUCAACCUAUCGAUGUGUGAUUUCAGUCCUAGAAUGUGGGCACACACGGGUUUACCAUCUUCAUGUUUCAUUUCCAAUAGGGCUUUAGUGACAUUGAACCUUUCAAUUCUUCGAUCUUGUGGUUUAGGGAGAAUAACAGGAGGAGGUGAAGGAAGUGAAGCACAAUUUCUUGUUCCUCGAUCGAAUCGUGGAAUAUCAUCUUCAUGUGGAAUGCUUGUUCCACGGGAUUUGGGAAGACAAUAGUUGUCGUACUUUGACAUAUACAAAACGGGAGAAAAAAAAUUCAAGUUAGUUGAUCGAUUGAGUCCUUAGUAAAUCACCCAAAUGAUAUACUAGGCCUAGGACCCAACACAAUAUUCCACAACUCGGGAGAGGGAUGCCGUAACCCUAAUUACAGAACAUUUGAAGGUAAGUGAAUGACGAUUCACUAAUUCUCCACCAUUAAAAACGAAAAACAGAUUAAGUUUUAAAUGUAAUGAAAACUCAUCCUAUGAGAUUCAUUGAACAUUUCAAUGGCAUGUUUAAAUCUCGAUAUGCCCCUCUAGUUUGUGACUGGGAUGCCGAGGAUCACAAAGCGGGAGUGAAUAACCAUGCAAACUUACAUGGUGCCCUCACAUGUUACGGUCACCUAUUCGAUGUGCCGGUAAACCACACACGCUCCACCGAACUAUGACAAACAUUGAGUCACCCUUUGCUACCUUUGCUUAGAACCAUUUAGUGUGCCGGUAAACCACACACGCUCCACUAACGUCUUCGCAAGGGCACAAAGUGUAAUUUCAUGGAAUUGCAUCAAUUCACUUUUGCCUAAGUAACUAAGAUUGGGAAUUUUAUGA
rnacentral:lncRNA from 1 species